AUUGAACGCUGGCGGCAGGCCUAACACAUGCAAGUCGAAUGGUAACAGGAAACAGCUUGCUGUUUCGCUGACGAGUGGCGGACGGGUGAGUAAUGUCUGGGAAACUGCCUGAUGGAGGGGGAUAACUACUGGAAACGGUAGCUAAUACCGCAUAACGUCGCAAGACCAAAGAGGGGGACCUUCGGGCCUCUUGCCAUCAGAUGUGCCCAGAUGGGAUUAGCUAGUAGGUGGGGUAACGGCUCACCUAGGCGACGAUCCCUAGCUGGUCUGAGAGGAUGACCAGCCACACUGGAACUGAGACACGAUCCAGACUCCUACGGGAGGCAGCAGUGGGGAAUAUUGCACAAUGGGCGCAAGCCUGAUGCAGCCAUGCCGCGUGUAUGAAGAAGGCCUUCGGGUUGUAAAGUACUUUCAGCGGGGAGGAAGGGAGUAAAGUUAAUACCUUUGCUCAUUGACGUUACCCGCAGAAGAAGCACCGGCUAACUCCGUG
rnacentral:rRNA from 1 species